CCAUGUGAUAUCACAAGAUAUCCCCCGGUGAUUUU
rnacentral:rRNA from 1 species